rnacentral:rRNA from 1 species
CUCUGUCACUCCUACGGGAGGCAGCAGUGGGGAAUAUUGCACAAUGGGGGAAACCCUGAUGCAGCCAUGCCGCGUGUGUGAAGAAGGCCUUCGGGUUGUAAAGCACUUUCAGUAGGGAGGAAGGUAGUGUAGUUAACACCUGCACUAUUUGACGUUACCUACAGAAGAAGCACCGGCUAACUCCGUGCCAGCAGCCGCGGUAAUACGGAGGGUGCGAGCGUUAAUCGGAAUUACUGGGCGUAAAGCGCAUGCAGGCGGCCUGUUAAGUCAGAUGUGAAAGCCCGGGGCUUAACCUCGGAAUUGCAUUUGAAACUGGCAGGCUAGAGUCUUGUAGAGGGGGUAGAAUUUCAGGUGUAGCGGUGAAAAUGCGUAGAGAUCUGAAGGAAUACCAGUGGCGAAGGCGGCCCCCUGGACAAAGACUGACGCUCAGAUGCGAAAGCGUGGGGAGCAAACAGGAUUAGAUACCCUGGUAG